rfam:Spirochaetes bacterium GWB1_66_5 gwb1_scaffold_7050, whole genome shotgun sequence.
UCCGCCGCGAGACGGAAUCCGGAGGAAGCCGCAGGCAAAGCGCUGGCCUGACGAACAGGAACUGCAUAGGAGGCAGUCGCCCCGGGAGGAGAGGGCCAUUAGACUCGAAGUCCCAUACCUGUACGGCAGGGGCGAGUGUAAAUGCAGCAGGCAUAAGCGGGAAGGUGGGUGCG